CGAAAGAAGAAGACAAAGUUUCAACAACUUUCUCCAAAUCAUCGACUCUUCUUGAAACAUCUUGACGCGAUCUUCAUUAUGGUGAACUGCUGUGGUCUUGUGUCUAAGAAAAAUGUGCCAGAUCUUUUGAAGAGAGUGUAGAGAUGUUUGUGUGUUUGGGCCAAGUGGCAACCUCCCGCUCCCUCUUUUGAAACCAACACGGAAGUGACUAAAACUGCAAUUCAUCGACUGGCCGCUGGAGGCUGGCUCCAAAAGGGAUUCAUGUUAUGUUAAAAUGAAAUGUUUGUUGAAAUGUUUUUUUCAAACUUUUUUUGUUAGUGCACUUUUGCAUGUUGUUGUCACUUUAUCUGAAUCUCUUCAGUUUUCAGUUUCUCAGGAUCUUGGGCUGAACUUGAUGCGUGGAUCCCUUUUUGUCUUCCUGACAUACAGGAGAGAAACACAUCUGAGAUUUAGUUUUAUUCCUUCAGUUAUUAGUUAAUUUGCCUCCUGCCAGUAAACGCUGAAGAACGGCAGCAGAAGUGAUGAACUGGAGUUUCUCUGGACAGAUGCUGUUUCUAUCCUAUUGAUGAAUGCAAUUUAGUUUGCUCCACACGAACUGUUAGCGACUCAAACUCGAUCUCUGCAGAUGCUGUGAGUUUGGUUUGAGUUUAUAAUGUUCAUCUGGGAACGCUAUGUGAGGCAUUUCAUCAGAUUUGUGAGAUAAAUACUUCAAACACAGGAAUAUAAUGUCUUUAAAUAUCAAAAAUAAAUCAAUAAAUAACAUCAAUAUCUUUAAAUAUGCUAACUGUUCAUCGCGAUUUCAAAAUAAAAGUUCAAGCCUUCGCUCUGAGUUUGUGUGUUUAAUGUCCACAUAUUCAAGAAAUGACAGUGACUGUAGCAUUCCUGUCAUAAAGAAAUAACCAAAUAUUAAAGAUUAAGUGGACAUUUGAAUGUUGUUUAGUCAAGGAUUGGAUUGGAGUGUAAAAACAAUCAUCAGGCCUCUGCAGGCAUUUGUUACAAUGCAUAAUGUACAUUAGUUAUAUUGUUUAUAAACAUAUUUUAACAGUUUUGUUAAAAAAAAAAAAAAAAAACGAUUACUUGCUUUUGAUAUUUUUAAUUAUUAUUGCAUUAAUUUCUGUUAUAUUAUGACUAUUGUUCACUUGGGUCUAUUUUUAUCACAAAAAUUCAUUAGUAAUUUACAUAUCCCCAAAUCCAUCAAUAGUAAAUGAGGCAAAGGUGUAGAGUUACGUUCAAGCUCAUCAUGAAGAAAUCAUUUUCACAGGAAAAAAAAAGAAGAAGUUUAAAUGUCAUUUUAAUGAUCAAAUAGGAGUUUUAAGGGAUAAAAUUAUUGACCACAGGGGGACUUUAACAGUAACAUGCUUUCCUGUAGCUCAAAUAGUAGAGCAUGGCGCUAGCAACGCCAAGAUCAUGGGUUCGAUUCCCAGGGAAAGCAAGAGCUGAUAAAAUGUAAAAACUGUAACUUGAAUGCAAUGUAAGUCGCUUUGGAUAAAAGCGUCUGCUAAAUGCAUAAAUGUAAAUGUAAAUAAAUGUAAAGUUGUUUGAUUCAGAGUGCAAGCACCAAUGGACCAAGCAAACACUUCAAUAGAUAAAUCAUGAUAUUUUGUAGAAAAUAUAAUGCAGUUUGCUAUAAUACUGGAAUGUCAAAAUAAAACACGAACGGUCAUCUUUAAGACAGCAUGUUAGAAAAAGUGAAUAAAUAGAAUAAUUCUUGGAAAGCAUUUCACUGAUUUCCGUGUACACUAAUUAGGCUAUAUAAAACUUUACUCUUGGUUCAUUCUAGUUAUAUAAAUGAAAUUAUUCUGUGCACAUGUGACCCAUGCUGGAAAAAUCAGUCACAAUGAGCAAAUUUUCAAAUUAGAUUCAGAUGAAUACUUGAAUUAGUUUCUUCUGAAAUUGGGACAAAUAAUGAACAAUGUCACUUUGUGUCAAGGCAGUUCAUUUUCUGUGUCUCAUGAUGUUAUCUGGAGUUUCUGUCUGUCCUAGAAGCCCAUCAGAGAGCAGCCGCGGCUGCUGGAGCUCCUCCACAGAAACUCUUUGAGGAUUGUAAUACACAAGACACAGAGGUGAUAACGCCCUCCAACAUGCGGAGGUACACACACACAAAGAAUCAUCUGGAGCUCGUCUCAUUGCACUGUGGGCUCAAAGUGAGUGUGUGGUGUGUGUCGGGCCGGUCGUGUUUCUGCUGUCACUUCUGGGGUUUGAUCGAGUCUCCUCGGGGCCAGCGGUCAGGUUAAAGAUAAAACGCAUUUAAAUCAAAUUUCAGCUCAAAACUCACUUUCAGACACCAGCAAGUGUCAGAAAUAACUUCCAAUUGUGAUCCGAUGGGGAUUUUCAAAUCUAAUGAUUCCUGACAGAGCAUAAAUGAUUAUAAUAGUGUUUGUGAAGGGGGGGGUGAUGAUCUCGCCAUGACCGUGAGAUCAAAAAAGGAGGCCAGAGAGGCAGCCGUGGCUGUUCUCCUCCAUGAGGAGGAGCUGGAGAGGAGAGACGAGGUAAGACACACACACACACACACACACACACACACACUGAAGCUCUGAAUCUGCUGUCAGAAACGCGUCUCCCACUGAAAUUCAGAUCCUUUCCACAUUAACACCUCAUCUCUGAUCUUCACAGCCCUCCAGCAGCUCCUCCUCACAGACGCUUGAUUAGGUAAGACUGAAAAGCCAAGCUUUUCUAUCAGCUCUUUCAUUCAGCAGACCCUUGUUUGCUAAAAUAGAAACAGUGAAUCUGAAUCUUAUCACAGGACGAGCUAAACUCUGAACUACAGACACUUUCAGAUCUGCUGCUGUGCAAAUGAUUCACCUCGGUUUCUGAUUCCCUUUCAUUUUCAGACGGAAGUGAAAGUGGAGGAGGAGGAUACAUUAAACCCCACCUGCAUUUUUGCACUGUUUCAGAUCUUUCUUUAAAUACUUUGUGCUGAAGGAAACUGUUGCACUAUUUUCUACUGGUAUGUGUCAGAGUAGGGGGAUACGCUUAUUAAAGAAAAAAAAAAGCCAAGUAUAGACCUAAUUAAACAUGCAGGGUUCUAUGCACUUAUAUUAUAUUUCUAGCACUUGUACAUGCAUUUAGACUGUGCUUACAAAUUCCAUUAAUAAUGUUAUGAGAUUAGUGUUUUAAAUAUAAAAAUUGGAAUAUAAAUAUGAAAUGAUAGGGGGAAAAAAAAGAAUAAUUUUAAAUUUGGAACUAAAAUUGCCAGUAGGUGGCGGCACACCACUGUCUUAUGUGAGUCAUUUAUUCAAUCGAUUCUUUCAAAAACAUUGAUUCAUUCUGGAAGGAGGUAAGAAACUGUGGCUGUGUCCGAAUAUGCUUACUUCUCUAUAUAGUAGGGGAAAAGCAGUAGGCGAGCGAAUAAGUAUGUGCGAAACCUCUGAAAGUUCCCGGAUGGCCUACUGCUUCAGCUCAGAUACUUGAGUGCUCAUCUGAUGGAUACUUUUCAAUCACAGGAGCCACGGGAGAGAAGACAUCAUAAAGAAGAAGAAGAAGAGGAUACGUCAUAAAGAAGAAGAGGAUACGUCAUAAUCGAACAUGGCGGAAAACUUGGAUGAGGGUGUUUACAAAUGUGAGUAUUACAAACCAAAAACACGGUUCCUUAUUUUAAAUUUGUAUUUGUUGAACUACUGUAGAGCAAACUGUUGAAAGCGUAAAGAUGCUAAAUGGUAUAGUAUAGUUGUGCUUUUGCUGUAAAAACACAUUUUAUUAUGUAUAGCUAACAAGGGGGGCUCCAGGAAGGACACGUACAUCUCCAAAGUAUAUUUACAUACAUUUUAAACCAUAUACAUCUUAAAUACGAUUACUAAAUAUCUAUUUAAUAUCCGGUUGGAAAAUCUUCAAUAUGAAUUUCAUAUGAGUAUGUCUAAUAGUUCCUAGAUAUGAAGUAGACAUCUGAGUGAUGUAUAUGUGUGCUAUUGUGUACAAUUAACUGCUGUCAGCACUGUUUGCAAUAGAUGAAUGUUAGUAAUGUAAAUACAUUUCCAUAAAGUAACUAAAUAUAAGUAAUCUAUUUUAUUUGUCCAUUAGUACUGUUGAUAAAUUGAGGAACAUUCGUGUUGGAUAAAAAGCUGCUUAACACAUCAUCAACUACCUCAACAUGUAAAUGUAGUUUUGAGCAGAUAAAUCUGAGAGGUAAC